rnacentral:misc_RNA from 1 species
GAUGAAGAACGCAGUGAAAUGCGAUAAGUAAUGUGAAUUGCAGAAUUCAGUGAAUCAUCGAAUCUUUGAACGCACCUUGCGCUCUUUGGUAUUCCGAAGAGCAUGCCUGUUUGAGUGUCAUGAAAAUAUCAACCUUGACUUGGGUUUUGUGCUCUAGUCUCGGCUUGGAAUUGGGUGCUUGCCGCUUUUACGAGCGGCUCACCUUAAAUGUAUUAGCUGGAUCUGUCUUUGAGACUUGGUUUGACUUGGCGUAAUAAGUAUUUCGCUAAGGACAUUCUUCGGAGUGGCCUCGUUUCUAGGACGCUUGUCCGCUUUCCAAUACAAGUUCCACCUCGUGGACAUGACUUUUUAUUAUCUGGCCUCAAAUCAGGUAGGACUACCCGCUGAACUUAAGCAUAUCAUAAGCGGAGGA